GACACCGCUACUCGACGGCCGAAUACCCGUGCACGGUUGUUCGUAGCGAUAAUGUGCGGACGCCGGCACACUGUGGUAGCCAACUGCCCGCGUUUCCAAAAAUUACGUGCCGGGUAUGUAUUGAUGGCCAUACCCCGCGAGUCGCAUUGGACCCACGUACCAUAGAAGCGGUAGACACCCUUUUUGAGAGUAGACGCCGGUUA